UGCUGAGCUGCGGGGGGUGGGGGUGAGGGUCCGGCCGGCAGGCGCCCUCGGGCAGGGAGGGGCGUGCCGGGGGCACCUGGGUCCGGCCCCGCACCUAGUGACCCCAGCGCCCAGCGUCCCUCCCUGGGCCUCGCAAAUCCACACUCGGGCAGUGGGGUCUCUGCAAAGACGCAGCCCGGCUCUCCAGAAGCAGAGACCCUCCCACGAGGAGAGGCCUGCUGGCCAGCCCGCCGCAUGGACAGCCGAGGACGGGGCCGACGGGAAACGGAUUCGGGCCGGAGUCACGAGGAAAAGCGACUCGCAGAAGCUGAUUUAUUCCGUGGUCUGCACGGGAGGCGGGGCUGAGGGUGAGCGUGCACAGCGCCCGUCUGCCAGGCCGGGGUCCCCCGGAAGCAAGACGUUUACUGGGCAUCUAUUCCGCGCCCCAGACCGCACCAGAGCUUUUCUCCGUGACCUCGGGGAGCCAGAGGAACCCCAGCUCGCAGGGCCAGCGAGGUCCAGGACAGCUGCAUGGCCUUGAAGUGGACGGCGGGGCCGGUGGUCCGCGAGCGCUUGACGGCCGGCUCGUCCGCGGAGCGCGGGGCCGCGGAGCUGUAGAAGACGGCCAUGCUCUGUAGCGACAGCCGGUGCACGAUGUGAACGCUGCCAUCGUGGAAGGCCAGGGCCAGCCCUGCAGGCGGGAGCGCGGCAAGGCUCGGCCGGCGGGUGUUGGCAAACGUGAUGUAGGCAGAGACUCACACGGUGCUCCUGUGAGCACUGCAGGGACACGCGUGCCACGGGGGAGACAAGGUGCCCAGCCGACACUCAGCACCCCAAGCCACCUGGAGGCUGACAGCAGACACGCAAACCGGGCCGAGCAACAGAGCGGCCCCCCCAGCACAGCGUGGGGCUGGUUUGUCACAUGGCGACAGCUGACUAUCACAGAGCCUCUCCCUGCCAACCCUCCGCCUUGAGAGCCCUGCCCUGAAUGGCUUGUCACAGCUUACAAACCUGCCAUGAACCCAGGGAGAGAGUCCCGGAAAGCGCUGAGGCCCAGAGAGCACUGAGGCUGCCCAAGGCGACAGAGUGUAAUUCAGUACCCAACACGGACAACAGAGCUGUAACGGCAACCACGGCAGACGUCCAGGCUGCACGCCGAGCCACCUGUACCCGGAUGGGGCAUAAACACUAGGUCACGUCUGUGGCCAGGCUGACCCUGGGGCUGGUCACCCUCUGCGCCGGGACGGCGGCCCCACACACCUGUGGCCCUGCCCGCCACAUGCGGUCACGCCGGCUGCCACCGACAAGCUCACUGAGGACGCGGGGUCAGGGGAAGAGGGCAGCUGAGACCCUCUUUGCGUUAAUUGUUCCGCCCCCCCAGUGCGCAGCUUAUGGAAUGCCCCAUGGGGGCAGGCGCCGCGGGGGGCCUCCUGACACCGUUCAUUAGCAGCUCCCGCCUAGCGCCCUCCCGCACAGCCAAGGCUCCAGGCUCCAUUAGCGCUCGUCGGCAGAGAGCCCGGCUCUCGUCUACGGGAAAGCAUCUCUGUGUGGGCCCCGGGGGGGUGAAAAUCCAGGGGCUUUUCUGACCUCUCCGUCACUUCAGGCUGGGCCAGCGCAUCCCAGGGUCCAUAGG